rfam:Triticum urartu cultivar G1812 contig1057928, whole genome shotgun sequence.
UGAGUAUUUCCUCCGUUCGAAAAAACUUGUCUCAAACUCGUCCUUUAAAUGGAUGUAUCUAGCACUAACUUGAUGCUAGAUACAUCCAUUUGAGGAACAAACUUUUCCGCACGGAGGGAGUAUGUG